AUGUUUCCUGUAGCUCUGCUGCUGCUGCUGUUGGCAGCUGGAUCCUGUGUGAAGUGUGAAACAUUGACACAGCCAGCCUCUGUGACUGUGCAGCCAGGUCAACGUCUGACCAUCACCUGUCAGGUCUCUUAUUCUCUUAGUAGCUACCGGACAGCUUGGAUCAGGCAGCCUGCAGGGAAAGGACUGGAGUGGAUUGGAAUGAAAUACACUGGAGACUCAUACUUCAAAGAUUCACUGAAGAACAAAUUCAGUAUUGACUUAGACACUUCCAGCAAAACAGUGACUCUGAAUGGACAGAAUAUGCAGCCUGAAGACACUGCAGUGUAUUACUGUGCCAGAGAAGCACAAUGAUACAAACCAUCAGUAGACAUGAACAAAAACCCCUCAGUGCCUGAACACUUGUAACAUGAAUCCACCAGAGGAGGAGCCUUCAGACCACUGAUGAUUUCACACCAGUUUACUGUU